rnacentral:rRNA from 1 species
UAUGUAGGGUGCGAGCGUUGUCCGGAAUUAUUGGGCGUAAAGAGCUCGUAGGCGGUUUGUCGCGUCUGCUGUGAAAUCUGGGGGCUCAACCCCCAGCCUGCAGUGGGUACGGGCAGACUAGAGUGCGGUAGGGGAGAUUGGAAUUCCUGGUGUAGCGGUGGAAUGCGCAGAUAUCAGGAGGAACACCGAUGGCGAAGGCAGAUCUCUGGGCCGUAACUGACGCUGAGGAGCGAAAGCAUGGGGAGCGAACAGG